rnacentral:rRNA from 1 species
UGGGGAAUAUUGCACAAUGGGCGCAAGCCUGAUGCAGCCAUGCCGCGUGUGUGAAGAAGGCCUUCGGGUUGUAAAGCACUUUCAGCGAGGAGGAAGGUGGUGAGCUUAAUACGCUCAUCAAUUGACGUUACUCGCAGAAGAAGCACCGGCUAACUCCGUGCCAGCAGCCGCGGUAAUACGGAGGGUGCAAGCGUUAAUCGGAAUUACUGGGCGUAAAGCGCACGCAGGCGGUUUGUUAAGUCAGAUGUGAAAUCCCCGGGCUCAACCUGGGAACUGCAUUUGAAACUGGCAAGCUAGAGUCUCGUAGAGGGGGGUAGAAUUUCCAGGUGUAGCGGUGAAAUGCGUAGAGAUCUGGAGGAAUACCGGUGGCGAAGGCGGCCCCCUGGACGAAGACUGACGCUCAGGUGCGAAAAGCGUGGGGCAGCAAACAGGAUUAGAUACCCUGGUAGUCCA